GAUGAACGCUGGCGGCGUGCCUAAUACAUGCAAGUCGAGCGAACGGACGAGAAGCUUGCUUCUCUGAUGUUAGCGGCGGACGGGUGAGUAACACGUGGAUAACCUACCUAUAAGACUGGGAUAACUUCGGGAAACCGGAGCUAAUACCGGAUAAUAUUUUGAACCGCAUGGUUCAAAAGUGAAAGACGGUCUUGCUGUCACUUAUAGAUGGAUCCGCGCUGCAUUAGCUAGUUGGUAAGGUAACGGCUUACCAAGGCAACGAUGCAUAGCCGACCUGAGAGGGUGAUCGGCCACACUGGAACUGAGACACGGUCCAGACUCCUACGGGAGGCAGCAGUAGGGAAUCUUCCGCAAUGGGCGAAAGCCUGACGGAGCAACGCCGCGUGAGUGAUGAAGGUCUUCGGAUCGUAAAACUCUGUUAUUAGGGAAGAACAUAUGUGUAAGUAACUGUGCACAUCUUGACGGUACCUAAUCAGAAAGCCACGGCUAACUACGUGCCAGCAGCCGCGGUAAUACGUAGGUGGCAAGCGUUAUCCGGAAUUAUUGGGCGUAAAGCGCGCGUAGGCGGUUUUUUAAGUCUGAUGUGAAAGCCCACGGCUCAACCGUGGAGGGUCAUUGGAAACUGGAAAACUUGAGUGCAGAAGAGGAAAGUGGAAUUCCAUGUGUAGCGGUGAAAUGCGCAGAGAUAUGGAGGAACACCAGUGGCGAAGGCGACUUUCUGGUCUGUAACUGACGCUGAUGUGCGAAAGCGUGGGGAUCAAACAGGAUUAGAUACCCUGGUAGUCCACGCCGUAAACGAUGAGUGCUAAGUGUUAGGGGGUUUCCGCCCCUUAGUGCUGCAGCUAACGCAUUAAGCACUCCGCCUGGGGAGUACGACCGCAAGGUUGAAACUCAAAGGAAUUGACGGGGACCCGCACAAGCGGUGGAGCAUGUGGUUUAAUUCGAAGCAACGCGAAGAACCUUACCAAAUCUUGACAUCCUUUGACAACUCUAGAGAUAGAGCUUUCCCCUUCGGGGGACAAAGUGACAGGUGGUGCAUGGUUGUCGUCAGCUCGUGUCGUGAGAUGUUGGGUUAAGUCCCGCAACGAGCGCAACCCUUAAGCUUAGUUGCCAUCAUUAAGUUGGGCACUCUAAGUUGACUGCCGGUGACAAACCGGAGGAAGGUGGGGAUGACGUCAAAUCAUCGUGCCCCUUAUGAUUUGGGCUACACACGUGCUACAAUGGACAAUACAAAGGGCAGCGAAACCGCGAGGUCAAGCAAAUCCCAUAAAGUUGUUCUCAGUUCGGAUUGUAGUCUGCAACUCGACUACAUGAAGCUGGAAUCGCUAGUAAUCGUAGAUCAGCAUGCUACGGUGAAUACGUUCCCGGGUCU
rnacentral:rRNA from 1 species